rnacentral:rRNA from 1 species
CCUACGGGAGGCAGCAGUCGGGAAUUUUGGGCAAUGGGCGAAAGCCUGACCCAGCAACGCCGCGUGAAGGAUGAAAUCCCUCGGGAUGUAAACUUCGCAAGAACGGGAAGAAUAAGUAAGAGUUAACAUCUCUUAUGAUGACGGUACUGUUUGUAAGCUCCGGCUAACUCCGUGCCAGCAGCCGCGGUAAU